UGUACUUUUGAUCGAAAAAUCAAUCUGAUUUAUUUUUUACCUUUCGCUCAAUGAGAAAAUGGGUUAGAUUCUACAGGAAACUUAAGGAAUGAUGGAAGAAAUAAAAAAGAAAAAGAAAGUGUUCAAUAAGAAAAUAAUAAAAGAAAGAUUUGUGAACAAUAAUGAAAUAAUUCCUUCAUAUUGAUAGAAAUAGAAAGAAAAAAUUGAAAAAUUAUCAUAUAAUAAUCCAAAAAUUGCAAUAAUAAUCCAAAAAUUGCAAUAGAAAAGAAAAGAGAGGUUUGCGAUGAUUUUUCAAUCUUUUAUACUGGAUAAUCUAGUAUCCUUAUGCCUCAAGAUA
rnacentral:lncRNA from 1 species